rnacentral:tRNA from 1 species
CAAGGGUUAGUUUAUAAAAAUAUUGAUUUUGGGGAUCAGUGAUAGAAUGAUUUUCUACCCUUGA